rnacentral:rRNA from 1 species
GACGAACGCUGGCGGCGUGCCUAAUACAUGCAAGUAGAACGAGUUGCGAACGGGUGAGUAACGCGUAGGUAACUGCCUCAUAGCGGGGGAUAACUAUUGGAAACGGUAGCUAAUACCGCAUAGUGUGGGCUGGACCUGCGUUGUAUUGGCUAGUUGGUGAGGUAAAGGCGCACCAAGGCGACGAUACGUACACGACUUGAGAGGGUGAUCGGGUACACGGGGACGUGGGCACGGCCCAUAGGCCCACGGGCGGCAGCGGUGGGGAAGCUGCGGCUAUGGACCGAAGGCCGACCGAGCAACGCCGCGUGAGUGAAGAAGGGUUUCGGAUUGUAGAGCUGUGAUGUUAGAGCAGCGGUAACUAACCAGGAAGCGACGGCUAACUACGUGCCAGCAGCCGCGGUAAUAC